CGCAUCUCGGCUUCCCCCUAGCAUCUGCAGCGGCUCGGCUUCAGGCUUCCACGCGGCAGCCCUCCUCGCUCGGCUCGACCUUGUCGUCGUCGAACACAUUAAGCGGUGGAGGUAUGCGCCAGUCUGCGUGCUGACGGCUUCCGGCGUGAGUGCGGUGUGGUUCUUGGGGUGGCCGCAGUUGAGCGCGGGCGACAUGGUGCGGGGCGGGAAGAAGGCGCGGUGGAGGGGAGGCGGCCGCGAGCUACGCGGGGCCGGGCGACGGGGCGAGGAGGAGGCGCGGCGGAGGGCAGGUGGCCGCGGGUGCCAUGGGGCCGAGCCGUGCGGGCUACAGAGAGGGCAGCUGGUCAGGGAGGCAGCAGCGGCCGCGCCUGGCCGCCGGCGGGGAUGAUCACUCCAUGGAGGUUGAAGCAGGCCAACGAUUGCAUCAGUGGUUCUGCAGUGGGUACAUCAGACUGAAGGGGAGGCUGCAAAGUUUAUCUUUUGAAGUUGGGGUGUGUUUAGAUCCAAAAUUUUGGCCAAAACUUUACAGCCCUAAAGUUUGGGGUAAAACUUUACAACUUUUUGCCUUUAUAGGUGUUUAGUUGCCUGUAAAAUUUUGGAGAACUGAUGUACAGUACAUGCACCAUAAAUGCAGGCCGCCCUUGGUUGCAUGCUGCAUGCGCCGCUGCUGUUA